AACCCUAGACAGGGGAUCACUUGGCUCAUGGGUCGAUGAAGACCGCAGCAAACUGCGCGUCGCCGUGUUGAACUGCAGGACACAUGAUCAUUGACAUGUUGAACGCAUAUUGCGCCUUAUACA
rnacentral:rRNA from 1 species